AUUCUUCGGAUGAAGAGUAUUGUGACUGAGCGGCGGACGGGUGAGUAACGCGUGGGUAACCUGCCUCAUACAGGGGGAUAACAGUUAGAAAUGACUGCUAAUACCGCAUAAGACCACAGCACCGCAUGGUGCAGGGGUAAAAACUCCGGUGGUAUGAGAUGGACCCGCGUCUGAUUAGCUAGUUGGUAAGGUAACGGCUUACCAAGGCGACGAUCAGUAGCCGACCUGAGAGGGUGACCGGCCACAUUGGGACUGAGACACGGCCCAAACUCCUACGGGAGGCAGCAGUGGGGGAUAUUGCACAAUGGGGGAAACCCUGAUGCAGCGACGCCGCGUGAGUGAAGAAGUAUUUCGGUAUGUAAAGCUCUAUCAGCAGGGAAGAAAAUGACGGUACCUGACUAAGAAGCACCGGCUAAAUACGUGCCAGCAGCCGCGGUAAUACGUAUGGUGCAAGCGUUAUCCGGAUUUACUGGGUGUAAAGGGAGCGUAGACGGAUGGGCAAGUCUGAUGUGAAAACCCGGGGCUCAACCCCGGGACUGCAUUGGAAACUGUUCAUCUAGAGUGCUGGAGAGGUAAGUGGAAUUCCUAGUGUAGCGGUGAAAUGCGUAGAUAUUAGGAGGAACACCAGUGGCGAAGGCGG
rnacentral:rRNA from 1 species